GACGAACGCUGGCGGCGUGCUUAACACAUGCAAGUCGAACGGAAAGGCCCUGCUUUUGUGGGGUGCUCGAGUGGCGAACGGGUGAGUAACACGUGAGUAACCUGCCCUUGACUUUGGGACAACUUCAGGAAACUGGGGCUAAUACCGGAUAGGAGCUCCUGCUGCAUGGUGGGGGUUGGAAAGUUUCGGCGGUUGGGGAUGGACUCGCGGCUUAUCAGCUUGUUGGUGGGGUAGUGGCUUACCAAGGCUUUGACGGGUAGCCGGCCUGAGAGGGUGACCGGCCACAUUGGGACUGAGAUACGGCCCAGACUCCUACGGGAGGCAGCGGUGGGGAAUAUUGCACAAUGGGCGGAAGCCUGAUGCAGCAACGCCGCGUGCGGGAUGACGGCCUUCGGGUUGUAAACCGCUUUCGCCUGUGACGAAGCGUGAGUGACGGUAAUGGGUAAAGAAGCACCGGCUAACUACGUG
rnacentral:rRNA from 1 species